UAGGGAAUCUUCCACAAUGGACGAAAGUCUGAUGGAGCAACGCCGCGUGAGUGAAGAAGGAUUUCGGUUCGUAAAACUCUGUUGUAAGGGAAGAACAAGUACAGUAGUAACUGGCUGUACCUUGACGGUACCUUAUUAGAAAGCCACGGCUAACUACGUGCCAGCAGCCGCGUUAAUACGUAGGUGGCAAGCGUUGUCCGGAAUUAUUGGGCGUAAAGCGCGAGCAGGCGGUCCUUUAAGUCUGAUGUGAAAGCCCACGGCUCAACCGUGGAGGGUAAUUGGAAACUGGGGGACUUGAGUGCAGAAGAGGAAAGUGGAAUUCCAAGUGUAGCGGUGAAAUGCGUAGAGAUGUGGAGGAACACCAGUGGCGAAGGCGACUUUCUGGUCUGUAACUGACGCUGAGGCGCGAAAGCGUGGGGAGCAAACAGG
rnacentral:rRNA from 1 species